UACAGAGGGUGCAAGCGUUGUUCGGAAUUAUUGGGCGUAAAGCGCGUGUAGGCGGCUUUGCAAGUCGGGUGUGAAAGCCCUCAGCUCAACUGAGGAAGGGCGCCCGAAACUGCAGAGCUUGAGUGCGGGAGAGGGUGGCGGAAUUCCCCAAGUAGAGGUGAAAUUCGUAGAUAUGGGGAGGAACACCGGUGGCGAAGGCGGCCACCUGGACGGUAACUGACGCUGAGACGCGAAAGCGUGGGGAGCAAACAGG
rnacentral:rRNA from 1 species